UACGUAGGGGGCAAGCGUUGUCCGGAAUCAUUGGGCGUAAAGCGCGUGUAGGCGGCUCGGUAAGUCCUCUCUGAAAGUCCAGGGCUCAACCCUGGGAUGCGGGUGGAUACUGCCGAGCUCGAGUCCGGAAGAGGCGAGUGGAAUUCCUGGUGUAGCGGUGAAAUGCGCAGAUAUCAGGAGGAACACCAAUGGCGAAGGCAGCUCGCUGGGACGUGACUGACGCUGAGACGCGAAAGCGUGGGGAGCAAACAGG
rnacentral:rRNA from 1 species